CCGAGGCGCCAGCGCUCUGGCUCGGCUGGCUGGUUUGUGGGCUCGGCAGCCGCCAGACGCGGCGCGGCGCCACCGACUCAUGGCCGAGGCGCGGGGCUGGGGGCCGGCCUUGCGGCUCCCGAAGCCCAGGACGUGGACGCCGUGGGGUAUGAAGGGCGCCCGGUGGGAUCCGCCGCGCUGGAAACCAGAAGCUGAGGCCAAAAAAGCUUGUGAGUGGCUCCGUGCAACAGGAUUCCCUCAGUAUGCUCGGCUGUUUGAAGAAGGUUCAUUUCCCCUGGAUAUUGGCUCUGUGAAGAAGGACCACGGUUUUCUGGACGAGGACUCUUUGGGGGCCCUGUGCAGACUGCUGUGGAAUCCUGCGAUAGAAGGCCCUGUUCUACUCAACCUCAGAAUCCCAUUGCUGCCUUCCAGGAAGCCUUUUCUGACUGCACCCCCUCCCUUCAUGGAAGUUCCUUGUCUUACCCUCUGUGUUCUUCUCUGCCUUCUGCCUACUCUGUCCUUGAACCUGUGCGAUUUCUGUAGUGGUUUAUUUCCACAUCUGAGGCUGAUGACCUUGAACAAUUGUGCCUCGAUGAAACUGGAGGUUCAUUUUCAAUGCAAGCAGAAUGAAGACCCAGAAGAGGAAGAGCAGUGUACCAUCAGCAGCCACUGGGCCUUCCAGCGGGAAAGUAAACGCUGGUCUCGCAUGGGCUCCUCUGACUUGCUGGCCCCACCGAGCCCUGGCCUGCCAGUGACUUCAAGCUGUGAGAGUGUCCUCACUGAGCUUAGUGCCACCUCCCUGCCAGCCAUCACCGUGAGCCUACCGCCUGAGCCAGUGGACCUGCCCUUGCUAGGCUGUGCCCCCAGCCCGAGUGACCAGUCCCUUCUCAGCCCCCCUCAGGGCCAGGAGGGUCCCCAGGACAAAGCCAAGAAGCACCGUUCCCAUAGCUUCCUCAAGCACCUUGAGUCUCUGAGGCGGAGGGAAAAGGGUGGCAGGCAGCAAGCAGAGCCUGAGCGUAUCCCAGCCACCUCAGAGAAGGUCACAAAAGCCUCAUCUGUCCGCAGUUGCCGUGGCUUCCUCUUAUCUGGAUUUUACAGAGGCAAGAACCGGGCAGCCACCUUAGCCAGUGGUGGUGGUGCUGAGACUCAGAGGGCCGGGGAAGCCUGGCCUGUGGCCACGUUCUGGCAUCCUCUGCGGGAACACCGGGGUGACUGCCUGGUGCAUGUGCCCGGGGACCACAAACCAGGCACAUUCCCACGUUCCCUGUCCAUUGAGAGCCUAUGUCCUGAGGACGGACAUCGCCUGGCAGAUUGGCAGCCAGGAAGGUGCUGGGGCUAUGACAGGCGCCGGGGCUCCUGUGGCUCAACGGGCAGCCUUGCCAGCACCUAUGACAACUUGCCCGAGCUAUACCCAGCUGAGCCUAUACUGGCUGGGGCCGAGGCCGAAGAUGAGGAGGAGGGUAGGGGCAGCUACACCCACCUAGACAACAUCCUCCAUCAUGUGUGGGGACUGCAGCAACAGGUAGAGCUCUGGUCUCAGGCCAUGUACCCAGACCUGGGGCCUGGAGCUAAGGAAGAGGAAGAAGAUGAGACAGAAGAGGAAGAGGCCACUUCUUUGGUAGAAAUAGCCACAGUUGAGGUUGAAGACCAGGCAGAGGCUCUGGCCUGUGGAGAGUCCCCAGCCCAGGCCAAAGUGCAGCCAGUAGCCCCAGCUCAGGCUCAGGCUCCAGCCAAAGCUGAGCUAUUGGCACAGGUAGAGACCCUGGACUCGGCCCAGGACAUUGAGCAGGAGGCACAUUCAGGUGGGGAACCCACCUCUGCCUCUAGCCUGUCUGUGGAUGGAGGACACUCCAUUUCUGACACUGUGGCCUCCUCCAGUGAACUUGACACUAGUGGGAACUCCAUGAAUGAGGCUGAGGCUGCAGGGUCCAUGGCUGGACUACAGGCAUCACUGACCCUUGAACGGCGUGAUUCAGGAGUUGGGGCCUCACUUACCAGGCCCUGCAGGAAGCUCCAUUGGCACAGCUUCCAGAACUCCCACAGGCCCAGCCUCAACUCGGAGUCACUGGAGAUCAACCGGCAAUUUGCAGGCCAGAUCAGCCUCCUGCACAAGGGCUCUCUGCUGCGGCUCACCGCCUUCAUGGAGAAGUACACUGUGCCCCACAAACAGGGCUGGGUUUGGUCAGUGCCCAAGUUCAUGAAAAGGAACAAGACCCCAGACUACCGGGGACAGCACGUAUUUGGGGUGCCACCCCUCAUCCAUGUGCAGCGCACUGGCCAACCACUGCCACAGAGCAUUCAGCAAGCCAUGCGCUACCUGCGCAGCCAGUGCUUGGACCAGGUGGGCAUCUUCCGCAAGUCUGGGGUCAAGUCCCGGAUCCAGAACCUGCGCCAAAUGAAUGAGGCCUCCCCUGACAAUGUCUGCUAUGAGGGCCAGUCGGCCUAUGAUGUGGCUGACCUGCUAAAGCAGUAUUUCCGGGACCUACCUGAGCCCAUCUUCACCAGCAAGCUCACCACUACUUUCCUGCAGAUCUACCAGUUCCUCCCCAAAGAUCAGUGGUUGGCAGCCACACAAGCUGCUACCUUGCUGCUUCCUGAUGAGAACCGAGAGGUGCUACAGACCCUGCUCUACUUCCUAAGUGACAUUGCCUCUGCUGAGGAAAACCAGAUGACAGCUGGCAACCUGGCAGUGUGUUUGGCACCCUCCAUCUUCCAUCUCAAUGUCUCCAAGAAGGAUAGCCCCUCACCCAGGGUCAGGAGCAAACACAGCCUGGUUGGCCGGCCAGGCCCUAGGGACCUGAGUGAGAACAUGGCUGCCACCCAGGGCCUAUCACACAUGAUCAGUGACUGCAAGAAACUUUUCCAGGUGCCCCAGGACAUGGUGUUGCAACUUUGUGGCUCCUACAGUGCAGCUGAGCUCAGCCCUCCCGGUCCAGCCCUGGCUGAGCUGCGGCGAGCCCAAGCGGCUGGGAUGAGCCUGAGCCUCUACAUGGAGGAGAGCAUCCAGGAGCUGCUGCGUGAUGCUGCUGAGCGUUUCAAGGGCUGGAUGAGUGUGCCAGGGCCCCAGCAUACAGAGCUGGCUUGCAGGAAGGCACUGGAUGGGCACCCCCUGCAUAUGUGGAAGGCGUCCACAGAGGUGGCAGCCCCUCCAGCCGUGGUGCUACAUCGUGUUCUACGGGAGCGGGCCCUUUGGGAUGAGGACCUGCUGCGGGCCCAGGUGCUGGAAGCCCUGAUGCCGGGUGUGGAGCUGUACCACUAUGUUACCGACAGCAUGGCACCCCACCCCUGCCGCGACUUCGUGGUGCUCCGGAUGUGGCGCUCAGAUCUGCCUCGGGGGGGUUGCCUGCUUGUCUCCCAGUCCCUGGACCCUGAGCAACCUGUGCCGGAGUUGGGGGUACGGGCCCUCAUGCUCACUUCCCAGUAUCUCAUGGAGCCUUGUGGCCUGGGCCGCUCUCGGCUCACUCACAUCUGCCGUGCUGAUCUCAGGGGCCGUUCUCCUGACUGGUACAACAAAGUCUUUGGGCACCUGUGUGCCAUGGAAGUGGCAAAGAUCCGGGACUCCUUCCCCACACUGAAGGCAACUGGUCCUGAGACAAAGCUGUGAGCCUUGGGCUUGUCCCAGGGUGGCACCACCCAGGCUCCCUGGCUCCAAGGGAGUGAGGGGGAAUAGGAGUAGAGCAGCCCCCUGGAUGCUGCUGCCAGGGACAGAGCCAGGCCCAGUUGUCUCCGGCUGCCUGUCCCCCUUAAUUCUUAAAGCUCCCCCCCACUUACAGGGGAGGAAAAGAGAACUGAGGUGUCCCAUCUCCAUUCCACCUUCAUCCCCAACACUGUAUUCUACUCUCCCAGGAGAGGAGAGUCAUGUUGGUAGCAAGAAGACGGUUGCCGCCUCCACCUGCCCAUGAAGCCACCACUCAGUCUGAAGCCUCAAAAACUCCCUCGCCUGCAGGAGGUAGAGAGCAGCGUGUGGGCCCCGAUUUCUGCCAGGCUGGGAGGCCAGGCCAUCCUGUUUGAUGCUAGGGCCCUUUUGAGGUUAGGCAGGAGGUUCUGGUCCUGCCUUUGUAGCCAACAAUGGCCUUCAACUGGCUGUUCCGGAGAAAUCAGACUGGAGUGGAUGGGCACAGGGUCAGAGAAGAGGGCAGCCCCGACCACCACGAUCUGUUUUGUCUGUGUAAAUACGAGAUUGAUUUUUAUGAGGCUGAUUUAGAGUGGGCACUGACGGGCCCCUCGUAGGCAACCUGAUGAUUUGGGAUAACUUGGGAUGUAAGAGUGAGGAACCUUCCUUUCUCAAGUCUCAAGAGACCAAUGAGCCAGUCUCCCCUGGCUUGGACUUCACACUUUAUCUGCAACUCCCUGGAGUCCUGUGUAGCCUCUUGUCAGGGACUGCCACAUCUGGAGAGUAAACGGGCUCACUCCACUGCACAGGCCAAGCAAAAGCAGAAAGUGUCAGACUCCAUGGAGAGGGCUUGGGCCCCUCAUUUGGGAUUUCCACCUCCAAGAAGGAGAGGAGCUGAUGGGCACCUACCUGCCUGUUGUCAGUGCAGACAAUGAAGAAGAGGAGCUUUGCAAUGGAGACUUCAUAGGAGAGGGCACCGUGUAAGGGGGCCCCAGUGGUGCAGAUGGAGUAGAACCUACUGGUGUAGACAGAGAUGACAGCCAGGAGGUUUACACCUGUAGGUAACAAAGCUUCUGAGCUUCUUCCUCAAGGUUUGGGGUGUGGAGACAGGCUGGAGAAAGCCCAAGGCAGUCUGGCAUUGAGGUCCACAUGGACUGGUUAGGGAUAUGGAGAUCUGAGAAACCUCAAAAGCACAUGCCCCUCACCCAGUCCUGGGGAGGAGUCAGCAGUCAGGGCCCUCCACAGGGCAAGGAAGCAAGUGGAAGUUACAGAUGGGCUUGGGGACUCCAACUCAUGAAACUGUAGCCCAUGGAACAAAACAUCUCAGAAAGUGGCAUGGCACUGGCAGCCAAUGUGAUGCUUUCUGGGCAGAGAGUCACUUGCCUUGUGAGCCACUCAGCAGCAGGGUCUAAAUAUUAGCCACCCACCAGGUGUGGAGGAGGGAACCAGAGCGACACCUUCAUCAAGGGCCAGAUCAGCUGGUCAGGAAGCUGGUAGCCUGGCCCCUGCCCACCAUGUGCCAUCCUCACCCAAGAGGGUGGCAGAGUGGAGCAUCCCUGGGCAGUGAACUUGCAUGUGCAUCAAACAGAGAGGAAAGCAGGUUCCAUUUCUGCCAUAGCAGUUGCCCAAAGGGCCACAACACCAGAAGGUGUUGCCCCAUGAUGAUGGUGAAACCCAGCAGCCAGAUCACUACCAGUGUGGCCGAGGUCUGCAGGUGGCCCACAUGGUAGGCACUGAAUGGGGAGAUGGUGCUCAGGCACUUCUUCAUGGUUGUGUAGGUGUGCAGCAAGAUGGAGACCAUGGCCAGUCUGCCCGUGACCAGCCAGCUUCGGGCAUGCUUAUAUGCAGGUUGUAAACCUCAGUGAAGAAGUUGAUGCCCAUAAGGAAGUCAGCACCUGGGGCAACAGGGAGACAAUGGCAACCAGAGUCCCCCCACCCCCACCCAGGGCCUUCCUCUUCUGGCUUCCUCCCAGCUCAGGGCUCAGAGGGAGAUACCUUGGAGUGUGUGUGCGCGCAUGUGUGUAUGCGCAUGCACAGUGCAUGCUGACAGCUGCCCAGGCCCUUUCCUAGCCUUCCAGGGAUGCAGCAUGCUGGAACACAGAAAGUAUCAGCCUGUGAGUCAGGUUGAACUGGGUUAUGUGAAUGUAGGAAGCUACUUCACUUCAAUGAGCCUCAGUUU